CAGCUCCAUUGUGAGCGCUGUGACCUUCGACACACAGCCCACGUGACACCGAGGCUCAGCUGAUCUCGCCGCUCCGGAGGAGCUAGAGCUGCGGCGGCGGCGGCUGCCUGUUCCAGCCCAGCCCCAGAAAGCGAGAGGAGCUGCUGCUGGAAGCUGGGCACCCUUUCUGCCGAGCUAGACACCACACAUAAGUGCUUUUGUAUUUAGCCCCCCCCCCUCCCUUCAGCUUUUCAAUGUCCUCUGUGUCUCCUUUACCAGGGUAGGAGCAAAGCCAUUUUCUAACUAAAAAUAAUAAAAAUCUAAUGGACAUCCAAUAAUUUUAUACACUUUUGGUGUUAACCCCCAUCCCCCUUUUUUGCGGUGUAAAUACCACCACUGAUUUAUUUGUAGGGAACAGCAAAGGAAAUUCCACGCACACACUGUAAACUGACUUUACCCUGGCUCUGAACUUUAAAUAACUUUCCAGCCCCAGGGAAUACAUUUUUUCUCCUCUUUUCUGCUAUAUAUCUUACUAUGGUUUACAUUAUCAUUUGUGAAAUGAAUUAUAUGUUAUUUACAUCAAUGUGCAGCUUCCAGAUCUUUGUAUGUCUCUCUUUCUUCUGGAAUUGCACAAAUAAAUUGUUGAAUAACUCUACUAGUAUCUUGUAGAUGGACACUAUGGAGAGAGGGCAUUCAAAUUGUCCAUAAUAAUAAUUAUUAUUGUUAUUAUUAUUUAUUAAUGUAUUAUUAUAUACUAUUUUUAAAGCUGAAAUAGUAGAUGUAUAUUUUGACCUGAUACUUUCUCAAGUGCUGUGGAAAUCUGAAUCUGUUUGAUUUAGUAUUUGUUCUUCCAUUAUGCAAUACAGGCCCUGAUCUUGCAAGCACUUAUUCACAUGCUUAACUUUACAUACUGUUAGUCCCAAAAGUAUUUGUAGGAUUGGGGCCUUAAUGUUUCUUUUGUACAUACAGACAUUUUGUAAUAUGUAUACCUAUAAAAUGAAAAAAACUGAUAUCCGUGUAAUGUUAUGGUUGAGAGUUUACAUACACAAAAAUCAGAGAACUUUAGACCUAGACCCCCAAGGUUUUCCAUUUAAAUCUGUGGAGGUUAGGAGACUAAAUAGUUUGUGGAUUUAAGCCUUAGUGCUAUGAUUUCCACAGCAAAUAUAACUCAGCUCUUUUUCAUAUACAUAGAAUUUUCUAUUAAUAUAUAUGGCAAUAUAUUUAUGCUUUAAAUAUAUGAACUAUGUAAUAUUGCUGCGGGAACAUUAACCAUGACUUUUGUGAGUAAUUUGUGUGUUUAAAAUCCCAUCUGUAACAUUCUAUUAAUGUACUUUUUGUAUGUCUUUACAAAAAAUACAAAACCAGAGUUUUUGUGCAUUUACUUGAGUUAGAUCCAAAUUAUGAUACAUCAACACAAAUACACUGUUUGCUUGAACAUGUAAUUAUUAAAAUAAACAUGAGUGAUUGUAUUUCAGCGAGCAUAUUCAGAUAUAUGCAUACAGUUUGUGUUUAUCUGGAUUAUUGCACUGUGGGCUCAGCCCUGCUCCUAUUUGAAGUCAGUGGCAAAUCUUCCAACGACUUCAUUGUGUGAAGGAUUUGGCGCUUGAAACAGUAAGGAAAUGAUGUAUUGCAGCACAAUUAUUUUAACUCAUUAAUACUUUUAUUUCUUAAUAUUUUUUCCAAUUUACUAAAGCAUAACUUUUCACAUUAAAUUGGUUUAGAGUAAUAUGAGUGUGAAAAAAGUGCAGCCUAAAAAUUUCAUAAACAUGAUAAACAUUAUCUGAAACUUACUGGAUGGAAUUUUACCAAGGUUUCCCAGGAAGACCCAGUAUUUGGGUUAGUGAACUACCAGGAGAAAUGUCAACCAAAAUGGUUGAUGACAGGGCUUUCAGCAGAUUGGACUUCUGCUUGGAAGCAGCAGUGAAAAGACAGUUUUCAUUGGGAGUUAUGAGAACCAUUUAUAGUUAUCAAGAGGAUCCUAACAGAGCCCUUCCCAGUGACCCUCAGAGAGCUAGACUUCUGGUUCUAAGCCCUUGAUGCACUGCAGCCAGGACAUCUGUAGAAGGAAAGAGGAGCUGCCAGUAAAGGCGACUGUAUUAUCAAAUGAGCUGUGCUGAAAAAAAGCCUCCUCCUUCUUCCCCCUCCAAGAACAGCCACACUGUAGACUCAAGCCACCAGCCUCCCCAGCACAUGCCAGAGGCAAGGGAGUCAAAAUAAAGGCCUUGUCCCCAGGCCAAGGAGGUACUUUGAGGAGGGAAGAGAGAGGAAAUAACCAGGGGAUUGGUGAACAACAGGACUAGACAGGAGGAAGAGAGAAAUCAGGCACUGGAGCAAAGGAGCUGCCUAGAAGUCUGGCAGGAGGAAGUAGUGUGGGGUUGGGUGGGAGGAAGGAGCGUGACGUCUGAGGGAAGUAAGGAGAUUGGUAACAGAGGAGAGGAAGGUAGUCCAGAUGGGAGAAAGAGCACAGAGUUGGGAGGAGCCAGGAAGCAGUCACUAGUGCACCCAAGGGAGUUCGGUGUAUGGGACCUGGAGAAAGAGCUGGAAAGUGGGAUUGGGGUGGAGAUGGAGGAAAGAAUUAGUGUCUGGGAAGAGAUGCACUAGGCUGGAGGGGUCAAGCUAAGCUCAGAGGACAACAAACAUAUUGUAUGUGUGUAGUUGUGUGUUUUGUACAAUCACAAAUUGGAGCAUGAUUUGGCAGGGAGAUGGUCCAGAAGAUGAUUGUUCUAAGGACUGUUUUAUGCUACGAACCAAUAUGCAUUGCUUCUGCUUUGGACCUGCUGCUCCUGAUCUUGCUGAAAUCAAUGGGAGUUUUGCAAUUGACUUCUUGGGAACAGGAUCCAUGUCUUUUAUGUUUACAAGAGACUCAAAAGUAGCAAAAAGUAUAUUUGGUUCAUUUGUAGUUUUUUAUUAGUAAAGUAAAAAGUCUGUGAAAUUCAGACCUUUUAAUGUCCCUUCAGUUUAAAUAGUUUUUAGAGGUAAUUAUUUUAAGAACAAUUUCACAAGAUGUUACCCGAGGCAAAUCAUAUAAAAUUAAAACAAAGAGUCUGUCAAAUUCCAAGUCUGUAGGAAGUUUUAAAAUUUUUAGUCUUCUGGAAUUCCUGUGGUUCACGAUUUAUUCUUGAUACAUGCCAGAAGGAAAUAUAAGGCACCAAAAUAUAUACAGAAAUAAAUGUAAUUAAAUUGAAAUAAUAAUUGUAAUUAUUUGAAAGCAGGCACAAUUCAAUAUUGAUUUUAAAUGUCAUGUAAAUCAUAAUCAGAUUAACAUGAUUUAAAAAAAAUCUGAACUUUGUAAUAGAACAAGGCGUGUCUAUGUAUUUUUAAAUUAUGAAAUUUUGCAUUCACCUAAAGCUUAGAAUAGGAACAUGUUAUAAAAAUAAACAAGUAACAAAGACUAGAAGUUAGUGCAUCAUAGACUAUCUCUUCAGAUAAUGGAUAAAAGUAUAGUUACUAAUCACUGAGGAACAGCUGUACUAGUUAUUUGAUAAUUUCUUAAAAAAUAAUAUACAGAUGAAAGCUUCAAGAUUUAAAAAAAUACAUGUUUAAAAAGUUAUCAGUGUGCGCUAGUUAUUUUAAGUCUCAUAGUUGGUUUUAUGGUUAGAUACGUACAGUUUGCUCAUAUGAAUGAAUUAUGUUCUUUUCUUUGCUGCUCUGUCUGGUAUAUAGAAGUCUUGUUGUCAGAUGUGGGGCCAGAUUUUGUUCACCUUACUCGUGUAGGUAGUCUCCUAACUUAAAAUGUUGGACUUUUUGUGUAAGACAAACAAGAUUUGGCUAGGGAUUUCUGUGCUCUUUGUUAGGGCUUGAUCCUGCAAACACAUAUGUGAGUAGCUUUAUUCAGAUGACUAGUAUCAUGGAGCUCAGUUGGACCACCGAUCUGAGUGAAGUUACUCAAGUGCAUAAGUAUUUGCAAGAUUGCAUCCUUAAAAUGUCAGAAGACUUGUGUGUGACUCAUACAUCUAUGCAAAGACAGUACAAAUUUGAACUGAAAAGCAAAUGUACUAAAGAGAAUGUUUGUGAUAGUUUAAUCGAUAAUGUACCUAUAAAUGUAUAUAUAUUUUGAAACACAUUUUAUUUACAUGUACCUUGUGAUGAUUGUAUGUAGCUGCUAAAUUUUAUGUUUUAAAAAUAGGAAUUAAGUAUUCAUUCUAAAAAUCCUUACAAAUACUAGUUACUGUGCAUACUUGCAGCCAACCCAAUGUUUAGUUGCACAAGCAUAGUUCAGAAUAGUAAUCAAUUUCCUCACUUGUAUGACAUAAAAAUGAACAAAACAUAUUUUGCAAAUGUCAAGUAGAGAAGAUUCUCCUGGGCUGAGUCCUGGUGUGCCAGCUUUAGUUAAAAAUUGGAUUUAUAAUGGCAAUGCUGACACAAUCCUCUAUCUAGACUACUAAACUCAGAUUUAAUAAACACCAGUCUAUGAUCUUCAUAUUAUUAAUGUCAGUCAGCAUACUUUACAUUUAAGGCAAAAAUUCUGCUUCCUUAUUUAUGCACAUAAUCCCAUUCAAGUCAAUAGAACUACCCAUAUGAGCAGGGUGAGCAGGACUUGACACAAAGUACAAAGGUAGUGUGAUGAGUCUCCUUUUACUAAAUGCACUAUAAAGCUCUUGAAUCUAGGACUCAAUCCUGCAAUGUUUACUCACCUGAAUAAAUCUUAUUUAGGCAAAUAGUCCCAUUGACUUCUCUCAGAGGAAUAGGAUUGCAGGAUCAGGCCCCUAGAUUGAUUUCCCCCCUAAAUUUAUAUUAUAUUACAUGGGAAUGAAGGGCUCAAUCUUGUAACCCUCCCUGACAUGAGUACUUACACCAGUGAAAAUUACUGAGUCAGGUUUCCAGGGCUGGGCUCCAAAACCUCUGUAAAUGUAUCUAAUAGUAUUGAUAAUAUUAAAUGCUAAAAUAAUCAGUUCCUUUAUACAUCCCUCUUCCAUUGUUUUUUACUUAGGACAAACAGUAAGCAUUAUUGAAAUACACUUAAAAAUGCGGUGAUAUGUUUUAUAAUUAAGGGUCUACUUAGAUUAUAAUAUUGCAGAAAUUGCAGAUUCUGCAACAUUAGACUUAGUUCCACCUCAGUUUUGACAGCAGGAGCCCCGCUACGUGCAUGGCUAACAGUGGGAACCCCAGACACUCUGGGGCUGAGAGCGGGAGCCCCCGCUGUCAGUCCCAGGCGGCCGCUGUCAGCCCUGGGCCCCCGCUAUCAGCCCUGAGCAGCUGUCAGCGGGAGCCCUCACUCUCAGCCCCAGGCAGCUGACAGUGGGAAACCCAGCUCUCAGCCAUGGGCGGCCAACAGGAGAAGCCCCCCGCUCUCUGCUCCAUGUUUCCCCUGUCAGCCCUGGACCCCUACUCUUAGCCCUGGGCAGCCGACAGCAGGAGACCCCGCUCUCAGCCCCAGGCAGCCAACAGCGGAAUACAGUAUCGUGGAGAAGUAAUAAUGGACUUUAUUACCACAAAUAAUAAGGUCCAUUAUUACUUUUCUGCAAUUUUCCAUGGCUUGUCCAGAGCUCAGCAACAAUUUUUUGACAAUCAUCCCUCAGUUCAAGAAGGGCCUUAUUUAUAAUAUAAUAAUAGUUGAAGUCCCUGGGUGUUUUGCAUCACUGAAUAGUUUUAUGCAAGGAUAUCUGUAUAUAAGUGUAAUCUCACAUCCAUUCUCAGCACAAUUUAGCUAAAUUCAUGAUAUAUUAAGCCACAACUGGAGGAAGAGGAAGUGAGCAAUUUUCCAAUUUAUGUAAUUUAAGAGAAAUAUGGGUUGGGGAGCGGGUUAAUGGCUUUUGGCUGUAUUAGAUAAAAAUACAUCUAUUGACUAGGCAGCGAAAUCCUGUUAAAGGUGGAAGAAGCCCCAAAACAUGAUUUUUUCAAUGCUUCUGUGGUUCUCUAUGGCCAUGUAGGACACAAGGGCUGGGUGAAUUUUUGUUGAAUAGGGCCCUUAGAUAUUUAUAGAAGAUCAUAAUUAUUAUUAUUUUCUGUAUUGGUUUUAUAUUAAUGGGUUGUUCCAGCUUAUAUUGUUUGGCUUGAGAUUUUAACAAAUUUAACCAAAUCAUGUAUUUAAAACAUAUAGAACAAAUUCAGAAAACAAGAGCUGUUUUAGGGUUGCUUACUUAUCUUUUUGGGAGUGGAAUGUUUUGAACCGUACAAUUGAAUGGAUUAUUUUAAUUGAAGAAAAAAAAAAGAUUAAAGGUUUCCAGGUGCAUAAACAGGCACACACGUCUUCUCUGUAAGCAGGUUAACAUAUUAUUUUUAUAUAUUGCAAAGAAAGCAAAGUAAACUCUGUGAAAAUCUGGAAAUUCCGAAUACAUAAAGAAACCAAUUGUUAAAGCGAUGUAAAUGUUAUUACAAUAUUUUAAAUGCCAGUUAACUGUGUAAUGGCAAGAAUAGCAGGGCCAUAACAUUUAAGCCAUACGUGGUCAUAUGUUUUUCAUGUUUUGUACUUCCAAUGAGGUAAAGUUUCUCCUGGACACUGAUCAGAAGGUAUGUAGCGUAGCAACCUGCAAUGUGAGAAAAAAACAGUUAAUUACAAUCCUUUUUAGUUAAUGUAAGGGAAUGUGGAAAAAGGAAACAAUUUUGGAUUAUGUUCUUUUGAAAGAUUUGUGUUAAACAUAAGUAUCUCAGAGUGUGAUCCCGAGGUGCCUACACAAUGACCGUGGCUAUAUAUGCCCUUUUGUAUUUCAUUUUUGCUUUACUGAAGUUGAAUUUCAGGUAUGUAAACUGAGCACUCAGUUAUAAUAUAAUUCAAAUAGGAACCUCAGGAAAUUUAGAAUGGACUUCAUAUAAUGACAGAAAGAGGGGGAGGGAGACUAAGGGGCCCCUCCUGCAGCUAUAGGGCACUCCUGUGCAGUUGAGCAGGUGUGGUUCUACUGCCCAAGGGAGGGAAGCUGGCUGGAUGCCAAGAGUCACAGGGGGAUGUACAUCUCCCGCCUGUUAUGGAGCUGAUUGUGCAGGGUCUCUGCAUCACAGCAUGUAGGGGGAGAGUGGGAAAGCUGGGUUUGAGCCGUGUCAGGGAUUUGUUGCUCUGCAGAUCCUGCCAUUCUCCACCCCAUAGGAGGGCUGUGCCAAGGGCUGAAGAAUGUACUCUGCAGCCCUGGAGUCGCUUGGAUGGGAGGAUCCCUUUCCACGAGGCCUUGUACAUUUCAAUGCAUGUUGUGGCUGCUUGAGCUAGGUGCUGAUGUCUGGAUUUUAGCCCAAAUAUAUUAAGCAGCAGAGAACUGAUAUUUCCUAUUCUUAAGCAUUAAAGAAUCUUAAUAACCUU